rnacentral:rRNA from 1 species
GACGGGGGAUGCAAGUGUUAUCCGGAAUCACUGGGCGUAAAGCGUCUGCAGGUGGUUUCCUAAGUCCACUGUUAAACCUUGAGGCUCAACCUCAAAUCUGCAUUGGAAACUAGGAGACUUGAGUAUAGUAGGGGUAGAGGGAAUUUCCAGUGGAGCGGUGAAAUGCGUAGAUAUUGGAAAGAACACCGAUGGCGAAGGCACUCUACUGGGCUAUUACUGACACUCAGAGACGAAAGCUAGGGGGAGCAAAUGGG